GACGAACGCUGGCGGCGUGCUUAACACAUGCAAGUCGAACGGAAAGGCCCUGCUUUUGUGGGGUGCUCGAGUGGCGAACGGGUGAGUAACACGUGAGUAACCUGCCCUUGACUUUGGGAUAACUUCAGGAAACUGGGGCUAAUACCGGAUAGGAGCUCCUGCUGCAUGGUGGGGGUUGGAAAGUUUCGGCGGUUGGGGAUGGACUCGCGGCUUAUCAGCUUGUUGGUGGGGUAGUGGCUUACCAAGGCUUUGACGGGUAGCCGGCCUGGGAGGGUGACCGGCCACAUUGGGACUGAGAUACGGCCCAGACUCCUACGUGAGGCAGCAGUGGGGAAUAUUGCACAAUGGGCGGAAGCCUGAUGCAGCAACGCCGCGUGCGGGAUGACGGCCUUCGGGUUGUAAACCGCUUUCGCCUGUGACGAAGCGUGAGUGACGGUAAUGGGUAAAGAAGCACCGGCUAACUACGUG
rnacentral:rRNA from 1 species